GGCCAGACUCCUACGGGAGGCAGCAGUGGGGAAUAUUGGGCAAUGGGGGCAAGCCUGACCCAGCAAUGCCGCGUGAAGGAAGAAGGCCUUCGGGUUGUAAACUUCUUUUAUCAGGGACGAAGGAUGUGACGGUACCUGAUGAAUAAGCUCCGGCUAACUACGUGCCAGCAGCCGCGGUAAUACGUAGGGGGCAAGCGUUGUUCGGAAUGACUGGGCGUAAAGGGUGUGUAGGCGGUGUAGCAAGUUAGAAGUGAAAUACCUAGAGCUUAACUCAGGUGCUGCUUCUAAAACUGCUAUACUUGAGUGCAGUAGAGGAAAGUGGAAUUCCUAGUGUAGCGGUGGAAUGCGUAGAUAUUAGGAGGAACAUCAGUGGCGAAGGCGACUUUCUGGACUGUAACUGACGCUGAGGCACGAAAGUGUGGGGAGCAAACAGGAUUAGAUACCCGAGUAGA
rnacentral:rRNA from 1 species